GUGCCACCGCGGUAAGACGUAGGGUCCGAGCGUUGUCCGGAGUUACUGGGCGUAAAGCGCGCGCAGGCGGUUGGUCGCAUCGGCGGUGAAAGCCCCCCCGCUCAACGGGGGAGGGUCCGUCGAGAUGGGCCGACUGGAGGCAGGGAGAGGCCAGUGGAAUUCCGGGUGUAGUGGUGAAAUGCGUAGAGAUCCGGAGGAACACCAGUGGCGAAGGCGGCUGGCUGGACCUGACCUGACGCUGAGGCGCGAAGGCGUGGGGAGCGAACGGG
rnacentral:rRNA from 1 species